rnacentral:rRNA from 1 species
GAAGAGCCGUGCAAACGUUAUUCGGAAUCACUGGGCUUAAAGGGUGCGUAGGCGGUGCGGAAAGUUGGGUGUGAAAUCCCUCAGCUUAACUGAGGAACUGCGCUCAAAACUGCCGCACUUGAGGGAGACAGAGGUGAGCGGAACUUAGGGUGGAGCGGUGAAAUGCGUUGAUAUCCUAAGGAACACCAGUGGCGUAAGCGGCUCACUGGGUCUCUUCUGACGCUGAGGCACGAAAGCUAGGGGAGCAAACGGG